rnacentral:ncRNA from 9 species
GCAGCAGCAGCAGCAGCAGCAGCAGCAGAGUUGUUUGCUGCUGGGUUACGUGCAGCACGUGCUGCAGCAGAAACCUCAUCUGUGUGGCUGCU